GUGGGGAAUCUUCCGCAAUGGACGAAAGUCUGACGGAGCAACGCCGCGUGAGUGAUGAAGGUCUUCGGAUUGUAAAGCUCUGUUAAUCGGGACGAAAGAGCCUAGUGUGAAUAAUGCUAGGAAGUGACGGUACCGGAAUAGAAAGCCACGGCUAACUACGUGCCAGCAGCCGCGGUAAUACGUAGGUGGCAAGCGUUGUCCGGAAUUAUUGGGCGUAAAGCGCGCGCAGGCGGAUCUGCCAGUCUGUCUUAAAAGUUCGGGGCUUAACCCCGUGAUGGGAUGGAAACUACAGAGCUAGAGUAUCGGAGAGGAAAGUGGAAUUCCUAGUGUAGCGGUGAAAUGCGUAGAUAUUAGGAAGAACACCAGUGGCGAAGGCGACUUUCUGGACGAAAACUGACGCUGAGGCGCGAAAGCCAGGGGAGCGAACGGGAUUAGAAACCCUAGUAGUCC
rnacentral:rRNA from 1 species